UAGUAACCCUAACUAAGACAAAAAUUUGA
rnacentral:piRNA from 2 species